rnacentral:misc_RNA from 1 species
AACCUUAUGGACCUGCGGGCGUAUACCUGCGGAGGGAUCAUUAUCAAAACAGCGGCCUUCGGGCCUUGCUGCACCCUUGUCUUUUGCGCACCGUAUUGUUUCCUCGGCGGGCUUGCCUGCCGGUUGGACAUUAUCAAACCUCUUUGUAGUUGCAAUCAGCGUCAGAAAAACAAUAAUUAUUACAACUUUUAACAACGGAUCU